CAGAGACUGCAAGCGUUAUUCGGAUUCACUGGGCGUAAAGGGUGCGCAGGCGGCCAAGUGUGUGAGGCGUGAAAGCCCGGGGCUUAACCCCGGAAUUGCACCUCAAACUACAUGGCUAGAGCAUUGGAGAGGGUAGCAGAAUUCAUGGUGUAGCAGUGAAAUGCGUAGAUAUCAUGAGGAAUACCAGAGGCGAAGGCGGCUACCUGACAAUUGCUGACGCUCAGGCACGAAAGCGUGGGGAGCAAAAGGGAUUAGAUACCCCUGUAGUCCACGCCCUAAACGGUGCACACUAGGUCUUGGCGGAUUCGACCCCACCAGGGCCCAAGCUAACGCGUUAAGUGUGCCGCCUGAGGACUACGGCCGCAAGGCUA
rnacentral:rRNA from 1 species